rnacentral:rRNA from 1 species
AUUGAACGCUGGCGGCAUGCCUAACACAUGCCAGUCGAGCGGUAGCAGGGAGCUUGGUCCUGGAGUCAGCGGCAGGGGGGUGUGUAGUACCGAGAAGUGUGCCUGCUUGUGGGGGAUAAAGUCCGUAAAGUAGCGCAAAUACCGCAUGCGUCCUGAGUGAGAAAGGGGGGGCGCAUCGGACCUCACGCUAUCAGAGGAGCCUAUGUCAGAUUAGCUAGUUGGUGGGGUAAAGGCCCACCAAGGCAACGAUCCGUAGCUGGUCUGAGAGGAAGAUCAGUCACACUGGAACUGAGACACGGUCCAGACUCCUACGGGAGGCAGCAGUGGGGAAUUUUGGACAAUGGGCGCAAGCCUGAUCCAGCAAUGCCGCGUGUGUGAAGAAGGUCUUCGGGUUGUAAACUGCUUUUAUUCGGGAGGAAACGGAGUAGGUUAAUACCCUGCUGUAUUGACGUUACCGAAAGAAUAAGCACCGGCUAACUACGUG